AUUGGUGAGGAUCAGGUAAUCUGCAUCCUGAGGUUUGGAUCAGCAUGUACGUUUGUUGUAUCUAGUCCUCAGGAUACGGAUUACCUUAUCCUUACUGACAAUAUAAAA
rnacentral:pre_miRNA from 1 species